rnacentral:rRNA from 1 species
GAUGAACGCUGGCGGCGUGCCUAAUACAUGCAAGUCGAGCGAACAGAUGAGGAGCUUGCUCCCCUGACGUUAGCGGCGGACGGGUGAGUAACACGUGGAUAACCUACCUAUAAGACUGGGAUAACUUCAGGAAACCGGAGCUAAUACCGGAUAAUAUAUUGAACCGCAUGGUUCAAUAGUGAAAGACGGUUUUGCUGUCACUUAUAGAUGGAUCCGCGCCGCAUUAGCUAGUUGGUAAGGUAACGGCGUACCAAGGCAACGAUGCGUAGCCGACCUGAGAGGGUGAUCGGCCACACUGGAACUGAGACACGCUCCAGACUCCUACGGGAGGCAGCAGUAGGGAAUCUUGCGCAAUGGGCGAAAGCCUGACGGAGCAACGCCGCGUGAGUGAUGAAGGUCUUCGGAUCGUAAAACUCUGUUAUUAGGGAAGAACAAAUGUGUAAGUAACUAUGCACGUCUUGACGGUACCUAAUCAGAAAGCCACGGCUAACUACGUG